UUGAUUGAUUGUUAUUCAAUACUCCGACGCAGAGACGCAGUGUGUUGGGUUGGACCUCUGGGGGACUCCCGGCGCGACGGCCGGGUCGCCCCCCGAGGCAACAGAUAUGAAUCGACAAAGGGUUGGAGGUCGGGCGCGAGGGCCCUCACUCGGUAAUGAUCCCUCCGCAGGUUCACCUACGGAGA
rnacentral:misc_RNA from 1 species